rfam:Aedes albopictus isolate Foshan contig78241, whole genome shotgun sequence.
CAAACGGUUCUUUUCAGAACCACCGACAAUGAUUCUUAGAGAGUUAAU